CUAGCAGGCGGUUCCUUCAGUCUGAUGUGAAAGCCCCCGGCUCAACCGGGGAGGGUCAUUGGAAACUGGGGAACUUGAGUGCAGAAGAGGAGAGUGGAAUUCACGUGUAGCGGUGAAAUGCGUAGAGAUGUGGAGGAACACCAGUGGCGAAGGCGACUCUCUGGUCUGUAACUGACGCUGAGGAGCGAAAGCGUGGGGAGCGAACAGGAUUAGAUACCCUGGUAGUCCACGCCGUAAACGAUGAGUGCUAAGUGUUAGGGGGUUUCCGCCCCUUAGUGCUGCAGCUAACGCAUUAAGCACUCCGCCUGGGGAGUACGGUCGCAAGACUGAAACUCAAAGGAAUUGACGGGGGCCCGCACAAGCGGUGGAGCAUGUGGUUUAAUUUGAAGCAACGCGAAGAACCUUACCAGGUCUUGACAUCCUCUGACAAUCCUAGAGAUAGGACGUCCCCUUCGGGGGCAGAGUGACAGGUGGUGCAUGGUUGUCGUCAGCUCGUGUCGUGAGAUGUUGGGUUAAGUCCCGCAACGAGCGCAACCCUUGAUUUUAGUUGCCAGCAUUCAGUUGGGCACUCUAAGGUGACUGCCGGUGACAAACCGGAGGAAGGUGGGGAUGACGUCAAAUCAUCAUGCCCCUUAUGACCUGGGCUACACACGUGCUACAAUGGACAGAACAAAGGGCAGCGAAACCGCGAGGUUAAGCCAAUCCCACAAAUCUGUUCUCAGUUCGGAUCGCAGUCUGCAACUCGACUGCGUGAAGCUGGAAUCGCUAGUAAUCGCGGAUCAGCAUGCCGCGGUGAAUACGUUCCCGGGCCUUGUACACACCGCCCGUCACACCACGAGAGUUUGUAACACCCGAAGUCGGUGAGGUAACCUUUAUGGAGCCAGCCGCCGAAGGUGGGACAGAUGAUUGGGGUGAAGUCGUAACAAGGUAGCCGUAU
rnacentral:rRNA from 1 species